CCCCGAGCCGUCCGGUGGAGUCGCCUCGGGAAGACCGGUCCCUCCGUCCUAGGAGGAGCUGCGGAGACAAGAGGGGGAAACCACUGUGAUGCCAGCCUGGCCCUGGGUGGGGAGACGAGGUCGGCAGGUGUCCUGAUGAGGAAGCCUGAGACGUCAACACCCAUUGCGGGGAGACCUCGGCUCUGCAGCCUUCCUUCCUCGGUGGUGUGCAUCUUGCCAAUUUGCAGGACCAAGAAAGAAACCCAGCUGCUCUCAGAGGACCCGAACUUCAAAUUUAAACCGACCUCCUCGCUUUGCGUCUCGCCUUCUGGGCUUACAGCAUUUGAAUGGGAGCGGAGGUGGGGUGGGGUGGGGUAGAGGGUAGUUCUCCAAUGGCUGACCGGACUCUAAGAGAUAAUGAUUUAAUUUUCAUAUCCUUGGGUUUCUCAAAAUGGGUUUCCCUGAAAUGAAGGUUCCCCGUCUUUUCACAAU
rnacentral:lncRNA from 1 species